rnacentral:rRNA from 1 species
AUGCAGUCGACGAUGAAGCCCAGCUUGCUGGGUGGAUUAGUGGCGAACGGGUGAGUAACACGUGAGUAACCUGCCCCCGACUCUGGGAUAAGCCCGGGAAACUGGGUCUAAUACCGGAUAUUACCUUUGACCGCAUGGUUGUUGGUGGAAAGAUUUAUCGGUGGGGGAUGGACUCGCGGCCUAUCAGCUUGUUGGUGAGGUAAUGGCUCACCAAGGCGACGACGGGUAGCCGGCCUGAGAGGGUGACCGGCCACACUGGGACUGAGACACGGCCCAGACUCCUACGGGAGGCAGCAGUGGGGAAUAUUGCACAAUGGGCGAAAGCCUGAUGCAGCGACGCCGCGUGAGGGAUGACGGCCUUCGGGUUGUAAACCUCUUUCAGUAGGGAAGAAGCGAAAGUGACGGUACCUGCAGAAGAAGCGCCGGCUAACUACGUGCCAGCAGCCGCGGUAAUACGUAGGGCGCAAGCGUUAUCCGGAUUUAUUGGGCGUAAAGAGCUCGUAGGCGGUUUGUCGCGUCUGCCGUGAAAGUCCGAGGCUCAACCUCGGAUCUGCGGUGGGUACGGGCAGACUAGAGUGAUGUAGGGGAGACUGGAAUUCCUGGUGUAGCGGUGAAAUGCGCAGAUAUCAGGAGGAACACCGAUGGCGAAGGCAGGUCUCUGGGCAUUUACUGACGCUGAGGAGCGAAAGCAUGGGGAGCGAACAGGAUUAGAUACCCUGGUAGUCCAUGCCGUAAACGUUGGGCACUAGGUGU